GCACUGGACUCCGCUCGCCGGGAGGGCCGAGGCUCGCCGCGGAGCGCGCCGCUGGGUCCCGGGGCCCCCACGUGAGUCUGCGCGCGCUGGCGGCGGAGGGGGGCGCGCCCCUCACCCCGGGACAAAGCGCCGGGGCCGCGCUCGCGGGUGCGGGGACCGGGCUGGCCUGGGGCUGCUUCCGCCCGGAGGAAGGGACCGCACAGGCCCCAGUGGCAGCGGGCCGCAGGAGAGGCCAGCGGGACGCAGGAAGCCGGGGUCUCCCAACGCCAAGCGGAACCGCGCCGUCCGGCCGGCCUCCCUCCCUCCUUCCUUCCUUCCUUCCUUCCUUCGUGUGGCGCUUGGAGCGGUCAAUUACACCCUCCCUGGCCUGGACCUUGCUCCCCAAGGGCCGGCCGGUUGGGGCGGGUGGGACCCUAGGCUGGACCGCAGCUUGGAACUGUCGUGUCACGUGACCUGAUUGCCCUGCACAGGGGAACCCUUGGCACUCAGAACCCCAGGGGGGCUCGUGGGAGCCCGCAGCCCCACCUGACUUCCCUGGGCUGUACAGGACCUGCCUCACCCUACUGGUCCAAGUGGUUGCAGGAACCAAGACUGUUCACUUUCUUUUCUUUUCUAAGAUUUAUUUAUUAUGUACACAUUGUCUGCGACAGAAGAGGGACCAGGUCUCAUUACAGAUGGCUGUGAGCCACCAUGUCGUUGCUGGGAAUUGAACUCAGGACCUCUGGAAGAGCAGCCAUCUCUCCAGCCCGCCUGUUCACUUUCGGGGACACUGACCCUCCCUCCAUGCCGUCUUGGCUCCUCCCCACUUUGCGGUUCAGUGCAGUGUCUUAUUUAUAACCUGUUACCUCGUAAUGGGAGCAAAAGACAGCUCCACGUGGUGCCUGUAGCAGUCUGAGGCAACCUUUCAAACACUUCCGCUCCGAUGGAGCCAGGAUUCGGGGAUGGGGUUUAUUAAGAUGAGGUUUUUUUUUUUUUUUUUUUUUUUUUUUUUUAAAGAGAUUUAAGCACUAACGGUGCUCUGGGAAACAUAGUACACAUCCAGACGUGGGUGUGUCCCGCUUUGAGGGACUAGCAGUAACCAUAUAUGCAAUGUUUGGUGGGUCUUGAGCUUUAAUUGCUCAAAACAUUUGGAAGUGACACCCCCUACGCCUCAGCCCUUCAGUAAAGAAGACUUCAGAGCUAGCAGUUCCCGAGGUGGUUUGGGUAGGAUGACAGUCUGAUGUGGUAAAACCAUAGUUCCAAAGGUUGCACACAGGGUAAGCCAUAUCUGCUACCAUCACGGGGUUUUAAACCUUGCCUGUGAGAUUCCUAGAAAAUUGCAGGUUUAUAUCUGGGGAGAGAAUGAGGCCAAACUCAGAGGUCAUGUACUCUUGGGUCUCAAGCCUGGUUUAUUGCUGGGUUAUUAUUUGAUAUCUCUGUAUAAAGGGGAUAUUGUCUCUGCAAAGACAGCAAGUUUUAUGAACCAGGCUGGAAUUCUUGACUUAGCAAAAGACUUUGCCACAUCCCAUAGUGUCUGUCUUCCUAGCCUAUCUCAAGCUGACAGCAAAGCUAUGGACACAGGUUCAUUAUGAAUUUAGUUCUAAACUCACUGUGGGGGCACACACCUAUAACCUGCACCCAAGGGGCUGAGAGGCUGAAGCAGGAAAGUCUCCACAAGUUUGAGGCCAGCCUGGUUUGCAUGUUAAUGCUUAAAUCUUUUUUUUUUUUAAUCUUAUUUUAACAGGGUGGUGGUGGUGCACACCUUUAAUGUCAGCACUCAGGAGCCAGGGAGGCAGGCUUAUCUCGGAGUUCCGGGAACAAAGUGAGUUCCAGGACAGCCAGGGCUACCCACACACACACACACACACACACAUUCUUAUCUUAAUGAACUACAUCUCUGAAUCAUUCCAAUCCAGUCUAGACUACAGCUGGGACUCCUUAGGGUAAGUACUUGUUUUGCAAGCAUGAGGAGCUGAGUUUAGAUCCCCAGCACCAUGGAAAGGCCAAGUGUGGAAACAGGCAGAUCCUGGCCAGUUUAGCCAAUCAGUGAGCUCCAGGUUCUACGAGAGACUGUUUCAAAAAAAAAAAAAAAAAAACAAGACGGAGGGCUGGUGAGAUAUCUCAGUGAGUAAUGGCUCCUGAUGCUUGAGUUCAGUCCCAGGAAACUUACAUGUUGGAAGGAAAAACUGAUUCCUGCAACCUAACCUAACCUAAACACAUUACACACACACACACACACAGAGAGAGAGAGAGAGAGAGAGAGAGAGAGAGAGAGAGAGAGAGAGAGAGCACAAAUAAAUGAAAAAACAAAGCAAAGUGGAGAAGCAAUUAAGGAAAAAGCCAUUCUGAGCUCUGCGUGUGCACAAAUAGACACGUACCUUCACAUACAUGCAUAUGACACGCAAAACUCAACCUGAAUGUGUAGCCUCUUUUCAAGUCACAUCUACCCUUCUUUCUAACUGCAUACUGGGCAGGGUGCUUGCACCUUUAAUUCCAGCUAUCUGUCCCACAGAUUCUCUGAGAUCAAAUAUUGCCUGCAUAAUUUAAAAAACUAAAUUACAGCCCGGCAGUGGUGGCACACGUCUUUAAUCCCAGCACUCAGGAGGCAGCCAGAUCUCUCUGUGAGUUUCAGGUCAGCAGGGUUACAUAGUCAGACCUUGUCUCAAUGUUAAGUCAAUAGAAACAACUAUUCUAGAAGGUCCUUCUUUAGGAAGGAAAACAGGGACACUUAACAGGAAAUAAGCAAAGAUUAUCGAAGAUAUUCCAUAAUGGCCUCAAAUUCAGAUAGUCAAAGUAGUCACUUAUGUGGCAAGUUACAUUCCUGGAUGUAAAGACAGGUCUUGUGUGGGGAAGCUGGAAGGGCACCCUUGGGGAGAAAUCAGGCCUAGGUGCUGGGAUCUGCCAUUCCAGCCCCUGAAGUUUCCCACUAAGAAAAAAGAGUGAAGAAUGUAAGACACCUCCACUCAGUAUUGCUGCGUGCAAGGCACUACCUAGCCAGAGUUUAGACCUUGUGGGACAAUGACAAAACAGUUCCAGCCCACGGUGCCCGCAGAGGCUGCUUAGACAAGCUGACCCCACUCCUUCGUUUUCAGUUCAGCUGCUGUUGGAUGUUUCUGUGCCAGCUGUAAGAAAGAGCCUGGUCUGUGUCUGGUCAGGGACACUAAGCUGCUGUAGGACUCUCUCUCUGAGGAAGGGCCUGCAGGACCUUGUGGUCAGUGGGAGGAAGCCGGGGCAGCCCCAAGACUUGGCAUGGAAGUUUCACCUGCCUCUGCCCCUCCCCGCUGCACUGCUGUCUGAAGUUUGAACUGUGGGCUCAUGUAAUUUAGUUUUUUAAAUGGUGCAGACAAUAUUUGAAUCUCCUCAGAGAUUCUGUGGGACAGAUAGCUGAAAAACUAACUCCUGGCCCUCAAGUGACUGAUGCCAUAGACCCCUAGAUGAGUUAAAGGCCAUUCCCAGGAUUCUGACGAUCAUUUGACAGGGGCCCCUGCCGUGGCCUCCUCUCAUACAAUCUUUGCUGAUGGGCUCAUCUGCCUGAAACCUGUGGCUGGAACCUCCAUUUUGUGUCUUUGGGGGACCUGGGUAGGGGUGCAGCCCUGACCCUUCCUUGGGGCUGACAAAGUUGUGCUUGUGGCUCACAGUGAACGUUUGGACAAGCAAAAUCAGUGUGUCAAGGCAAGGGUUUGUUUUGUUUUGUUGUUUUAGUUUUUGGAGACAGGGUUUCUGUGUAGCUUUGGAGCCUGUCCUGGCUCCUGCUCUGGAGACCAGGCUGGCCUCGAACUCACAGAGAUCCGCCAAGGCAAGGGUUUUAUUUGCAGCCAAUGUGGGUAUUUAACUGCAGAACCCCUCAGGAGGGCUGGGAGAGUGCCCCUUCCACUUUUGGAGUGUGACACCCAAACUGCAGCAAAACCUGGAGCUUCCUGACGAGAUUACGACCAACACAGGUGGACACAGAGAGAGAACAGCAGCCUCCUAGUGCUACGCCGUACCUGUGUCUACCCUCCCUCUGUGUCUCUCAACACAGAAGUGAUAAUGCCUGUGAAAUCAGACUGUGGAAGUUGCCAUGGUUUCAGUUCCCCCUUCUCCAUAAGGACAGCACCUGGUAGUGCGCCGACCCUAACCCUAACCUAGCCCUAGCCCCAGCCUGGCCACACCCCGCAUGGGAGACCCUGAGCCAAAACCACCCCAGUCUGCCGACUGCCCACUCUCAAACGCUGUGUGAGGUAACAGAUGUCUGUUUCAAGCUCCAGGGCUGUAAGGUCAUUUGUUGCCUGGCAGUAACGAGCUGACACACCAUCUGCAUUGGGGUAUGUUUCUUUACUGUAAUAAAAGACGGGAGACGGCUCACUGUGGAAAGACAAAAGCUUCGUGGACAGUUUUGGAGGCUGGAGGGCGUGGCAUUGGCAUCCACUCUGCUCUGGGGAGGGCUCUGUGGCUGAGCGUGCGCGCGCGAGUCUGUGCGCGUAGGCGUGUGUGUGUUCCCGUGUGUGUGUUCCCCAGUGUGUGUGUGUGUGCGCGCGCGAGUCUGUGUGCGCGUAGGUGGGUGUGUGUGUUCUCGUGUGUGUGUUCCCGUGUGUGUGUGCGCGAGAGAGUCUGUGUGUGUUCCCCAGUGUGUGUUCCCGUGUGUGUGUGUGCGCGAGAGAAUCUGUGUGCGUGUAGGUGUGUGUGUGUGUGUGUGUGUGUGCUCGUGUGUGUGCGUGUGUUCCCCAGUGUGUGUGAGCACGUGUGUAGCACUCACUCACACAAGUUAAUACACAGCUCUCUAGCUCCCAGAAUUGUGAACCACACCACACCACACCACACCACACGGAAACUGAGGCCUGGAGGCGCGGACUUGACUGACGAGCCGGGGCGGCCUGGCGCUGGCUCCACUGCGGCUCACACACCCGCGGCUGGGCGUGGCGGGCGUCCAUCCUGCCCGGCAGCAGCACGAGCCAAUCAGAGCACAGCUGCCUGCCCCGCACUGUGAUUGGUUCGGGCCGCGCGGACGUCGCCCAAUCACAGGAAAGAUCUCUGACGGCGGCGUUGCCUGGAGCCCCGGCUUUUGUUCCUGCGGGGUCCGGGGCCGCCGGGGCGGGCGCGGGGCUCCGAGGGGGCGGGGCGGGGCCGCGGAAGCGGAAGGGCGCUGUGGCUGCAGGAAAGCUAGCCCGGUGCUCGACCCCUGAGCUCGAGGCCCAGGGUGGGAGCCGCCCCCGGAAGCGGCCCCGAUCACCCCGAGCCGCUAGCCGUGCUGGCUGGAUGCUCGCCGGCCGGCCGCGCCCCCUGCCGUAGUUCUCCGUCCUUUGGAGCCGGCCUCCCUGUGGGUGGCAGGUUGGCUUAGCGCUCACUCCGCAGCCCCGGAUUUCAACAAUUUCCCGCCCAGCCUCCCCAGUGCGGCCGUGUACCCCGCGCCCGCCUCCGGGCUUGCUUUGUCUUAGAGGCCACAGGGCUGGCGAGGGCUCAGCGGCCUGGGGUCAGGUGGGGGUGCACACUCAGCCUCUGCGAGCCGGCGCCUGUCCCGCAGGCUGUCCCCCCCUCUGCCACACAGCUGGGACCCGCCACCCGCAGGCAAGGUGCUCAUGCUUUCUGCGAGCCCCGGCUCUCACCGCAGACGCAGGCCCAGGAAGCGGCUCUGCGAGGCUCCAGGAACGAAUUUGUUUGCAGAGGACCCAGUACCCAUUAGCGGGAGAUUCAAUUUACAAGAAUUCUUUUUCUCACAUAAUUAUCGGUGGAGUGGGUGGG
ensembl:lncRNA